AUUGAACGCUGGCGGCAUGCUUUACACAUGCAAGUCGAACGGUAACAGGCCGCAAGGUGCUGACGAGUGGCGAACGGGUGAGUAAUGCAUCGGAACGUGCCCAGUCGUGGGGGAUAACGCAGCGAAAGCUGUGCUAAUACCGCAUACGAUCUAUGGAUGAAAGCGGGGGGACCGUAAGGCCUCGCGCGAUUGGAGCGGCCGAUGUCAGAUUAGGUAGUUGGUGGGGUAAAGGCCAACCAAGCCGACGAUCUGUAGCUGGUCUGAGAGGACGAACAGCCACACUGGGACUGAGACACGGCCCAGACUCCUACGGGAGGCAGCAGUGGGGAAUUUUGGACAAUGGGCGCAAGCCUGAUCCAGCAAUGCCGCGUGCAGGAAGAAGGCCUUCGGGUUGUAAACUGCUUUUGUACGGAACGAAACGGCCUGGGUUAAUACCCUGGGCUAAUGACGGUACCGUAAGAAUAAGCACCGGCUAACUACGUGCCAGCCGCCGCAGUAACAC
rnacentral:rRNA from 1 species